UCCCCGAUAGCUCAGUGGUAGAGCAGUCGGCUGUUAACCGAUUAGUCAUAGGUUCAAGCCCUAUUCGGGGAG
rnacentral:tRNA from 1 species